GAUGGUUGUCACGAAUAGGGAAUAUUCAAGCUCAGCAAACAAAAUUACUUGUCUAUUUACAUUGACAUAUUGAUUUCUACAGACUAUCCCACUGGACCAAGCCACC
rnacentral:snoRNA from 2 species